GCAACAGUAUCUCCCUCUUUCUCUCCCUCUCACUGUAACAGUUUCUCUCACACAGUCUCUCUAUCUCUCACUGUAACAGUCUCUUUCUCUCUCUCUCAAUGUAACAAUCUCUCCUUCACUGUAACCGUCUCUCUCACACAGUCUCCCUAUCUCUUACUGUAACAGUCUCUCACUCUUUCUCUCUCACUGUAACAGUUUCUCUCAC